AGUCGCCCCGGCAACACCCUCUCCCACGCACCGCGUAUCCUGUUUCCCACCGGAAGUAGGUCCCUGCUCGCCCACCGCCCAGGAUUUGCAAGCUACGAGCUCUCGAGUUUCGGCGCUCGUUUGGACUUUCACAAUCACAGAUGACAGCAGAGCCGGCAACAGCGCUAGCUGUGGAGUCUUGGCCCUCUCAUCCGGUCUACGCAAGAUACUGGCAACAUUACCAUCAAGCGAUGGCGUGGAUGCGCUGCCACCAGAAUGCCUAUCGGAAGGCCAUGGAAUCUUGCUUCAUGUCCCCGUGGUACUCUUCUGCCAUGGGCCUUCCCCAGAUCGCUUAUGCUAAGGAGGGCAGAAGGCCUCAGUCCUGCUACGAGCAUCCCCCAGCCUCCUGGGACUCCCACCACAGUCAUUCACAUGCUGGCGGGCGUGGACCACAUCCACGCGGCAGAGAAGAGCCAGCUUGGUACGCAGAGGAGGAGAAGGAGAAAGAGAGCGAGUCCGACGAUGGCGGCAUAGAAUGCGACGUGAGCAACAUGGAGAUCACGGAGGAGCUACGCCAGUACUUCGCCCAAACCGAGAGGCACCAGGAGGAGCGCCGGCGGCAGCAGCAGCUGGACGCGGCGCGCCUGAACGACUACGUGAACGCGGACCACGACCUGUACCGCGACACGCGCCGCCGCUCCGUGCUGCCCCCAGCUGAGCGGCCCGGCGAGCGGCGCCGGGCCGAGAUGCGGCACCUGUACGGGGCCAGCGCCGCCAAGAUCCAGGCCAUGGAGGCGGCCGUGCAGCUCAGCUUCGACAAGCACUGCGACCGCAAGCAGCCGAAGUACUGGCCAGUCAUCCCGCUCAAGUUCUGAGCCGCACCCCUUCCUCUCGCUGUCCCCCCUCCCCCUCUCCCGUGGCUCUUCUCUGGCCCCGCGGAAAAGGAUGCAAGCCCGUCGGACUCCGCUUCUCCAGCACAGAGCUCCACGUGCGUGUUCUAUCAAGGGCCUAAGAGUUCCUAGUUUUGGCUUUCAGGCCAGGUGGGCUGUGUCCUGACUCCUGCGUUCUGCCCUUGCAGCAGGAAAGCAGCCAGAGAUGAGCUUGAAUGUCAUCCAGAAUUGAGAGCCAAGGACGGCAGUUCCCAAACCUGCUCACCUCUGCAGUCUCCUCUGUUGUAGGAAAGAAAUGAGCCUAUAGCAGCAAGAAGAGGGGACACAGUCGAGCUAUUGAAGAAAUGGAUGUUCUGGGGCUUGGCAAUUUGGAGCAGUUGAACUCAUAUGAUGUCUGGGGUUUCCUUUAAGGUUUGUAUUCCAGUGGCAGAGCGUGGGAGAGGUGAAACAAGAGUUGAAACAAGGUGGGCAAAAUGCUGAGAAUUGUUGAAACUGGGUCAUAGAUACACGGAGAUUCAUUAUGCUCUUUUCUCUAGCUUUGUUUAUGUUUGAAAAUUCCAUAGUACAUUUUUAGAAAAUGAAAUGGAAUUUGAAAGAAAGAGAUUAAUAGUAUUGUCACAGAAAGGUCUGCAAACUAAGAACAGACAAGUAGACUUUGGCCUGACAAUCUAGAAACCAUUGUAACAUAAAAGACCUUAAAGCAAUUUCAAUGGAUUGGUGGGGAGGAAAACCAAAGUUUACAUCAAAAGCUAAGAUACUGGGGAAAAAAAAGGAUUGCACCAUGUCAAAGGGACAUGGGAGCCAGUCUGAAAGAUCUCCCACUGGCCAAACUGGAGCGAUUCAAGCAAAAAAAUAUAUAACAUAGAAUUGGAUUAUAACCCAAAUUAUAAAAGAAAUACACAGAAGUCCAUACUGACAAGUGAUUUAAUAAAAAAUGGCAAGAAGAGACAAAUCUUCCAGAAUUCUAAAUAAUGGCUGUAGAUACUGCCCCGUCGAGGGAGGCUGACCUUACUCUCCCUCCCCACUGAGUAGGGGCUAAACUAGUAACUUAAUUCCAAAGUACAGAGUACAGAAAAGGGAAAAUAACAACCUUCAGUGGAGAAA